rnacentral:rRNA from 1 species
UACAGAGGUCUCAAGCGUUGUUCGGAUUCAUUGGGCGUAAAGGGUGCGUAGGCGGCUUGAUAAGUCGGAUGUGAAACCUCCAGGCUCAACCUGGAGUCGCCAUCCGAUACUGUCAUGGCUAGAGUCCGGUAGGGGCCCACGGAACUCCUGGUGUAGCGGUGAAAUGCGCAGAUAUCAGGAAGAACACCGAUGGCGAAGGCAGUGGGCUGGGCCGGUACUGACGCUGAGGAGCGAAAGCGUGGGGAGCGAACAGG